AAGAAAGCGGUCAAGAAUCAGUCCAUGUAAUUCGACCACGGAGCCCAACAAGCGUGCAAAGCAAGCUUCAAAGCAAAGCAAAAGUUGAAAAAUCCACAACAAACAGCAAGUGCCGCCUUUGUAAAGAAGCAGAUGAAACCAUGGACCACCUAAUCAGCUGUUGUCAAAGGAUCGCACAGACUGACUACAAACAAAGGCAUGACAAGAAACCAUGUGCAGAAAAAAUAAAACCAGAGGCUCAUUGGCUCAAGACAUAAUAUGAAUGCAUGUGGGACUUUGGCAUCAGAGAAAUCCUAGUGCUUGAUGUGCAAGAACAGCUUGUAACUAUCUUCCACCACCACUGUUUUGGUCAACCAGGAAGCAACUGAAUUCUGGGGAAAAAA